CAAGUCGAACGGUAACAGGUCUUCGGAUGCUACGAGUGGCGAACGGGUGAGUAAUGUAUCGGAACGUGCCCAGUAGUGGGGGGAUAACGUACUCGAAAGAGUGGCUAAUACCGCAUGAGAACUGAGGUUGAAAGCGGGGGACCUUCGGGCCUCGCGCUACUGGAGCGGCCGAUAUCAGAUUAGGUAGUUGGUGGGGUAAAGGCCUACCAAGCCGACGAUCUGUAGCUGGUCUGAGAGGACGACCAGCCACACUGGGACUGAGACACGGCCCAGACUCCUACGGGAGGCAGCAGUGGGGAAUUUUGGACAAUGGGCGAAAGCCUGAUCCAGCCAUUCCGCGUGCAGGAUGAAGGCCCUCGGGUUGUAAACUGCUUUUGUACAGAACGAAAAGGUUUCUACUAAUACUAGGAGCUCAUGACGGUACUGUAAGAAUAAGCACCGGCUAACUACGUG
rnacentral:rRNA from 1 species